AUACUUACCUGCAGGGGAGGACACCAUGACAAGCCAAGGUGGUUUCCCACGGCAGGCUCAUCCUUUGCACUCCGGGUGUGCUGACCCUGCGAUUUCCCCCAAAUCGGAAACUCGACUGCAUAAUUUGUAGGUAGUGGGGACUGCUUCGCGCUCUCCCCU
rnacentral:snRNA from 1 species